rnacentral:rRNA from 1 species
AUUGAACGCUGGCGGAAUGCUUUACACAUGCAAGUCGAACGGCAGCACGGGGCAACCUGGUGGCGAGUGGCGAACGGGUGAGUAAUACAUCGGAACGUGCCCCAAUCGUGGGGGAUAACGUAGCGAAAGUUACGCUAAUACCGCAUACGAUCUACGGAUGAAAGCGGGGGAUCGCAAGACCUCGCGCGAGUGGAGCGGCCGAUGUCAGAUUAGGUAGUUGGUGGGGUAAAGGCUCACCAAGCCAACGAUCUGUAGCUGGUCUGAGAGGACGACCAGCCACACUGGAACUGAGACACGGUCCAGACUCCUACGGGAGGCAGCAGUGGGGAAUUUUGGACAAUGGGCGCAAGCCUGAUCCAGCCAUUCCGCGUGCAGGAU